CAGCAGCCGCGGUAAAACGAAGGGUGCAAGCGUUAAUCGGAAUGAUUGGGUGUAAAGGGUGUGCGGACGGCUUAUUAAGUCACUUGUUAAAUUCUUCGGCCUAACUGAAGGUCUGCAAGUGAUACUGGCUCGCUAGAGUGUGUCAGAGGAUGGUGGAAUUCCCGGUGUAGCGGUGAAAUGCGUAGAGACCGGGAGGAACAUCAGUGGCGAAGGCGGCCAUCUGGGACAACACUGACGCUGAGGCACGAAAGCGUGGGGAGCGAACAGGAUUAGAUACCCCUGUAGUCCCUGUCUCUUAUAC
rnacentral:rRNA from 1 species